GACGAACCGUGCGAACGUUGUUCGGAAUCACUGGGCUUAAAGGGCGCGUAGGCGGCUUACCAAGUCAGGGGUGAAAUUUUGCGGCUUAACCGUAACAGUGCCUUUGAUACUGGUAGGCUCGAGGGAGAUAGGGGUCUGCGGAACUUCCGGUGGAGCGGUGAAAUGCGUUGAUAUCGGAAGGAACGCCGGUGGCGAAAGCGGCGGACUGGAUCUCUUCUGACGCUGAGGCGCGAAAGCUAGGGGAGCAAACGGG
rnacentral:rRNA from 1 species